rfam:Vigna angularis cultivar Jingnong 6 scaffold327_1, whole genome shotgun sequence.
UGGAAGAAUCUGUAAAGCUCAGGAGGGAUAGCGCCAUGGAUGGUCAUUCUUCAUCUCUCUUCUCUUUCCUUUGAUCUUCUCUUGCGCUAUCCAUCCUGAGUUUCAUGGCUUCUCUCC